rnacentral:tRNA from 1 species
GGGAGGGUAGCGAAGAGGCUAAACGCGGCGGACUGUAAAUCCGCUCCUUCGGGUUCGGGGGUUCGAAUCCCUCUCUCUCCA